UACCAGCACCCCGAGUGGUCGGGACGAUUAUUGGGCCUAAAGCAUCCGUAGCCGGUUCUACAAGUCUUCCGUUAAAUCCACCUGCUUAACAGAUGGGCUGCGGAGGAUACUAUGGAGCUAGGAGGCGGGAGAGGCAAGCGGUACUCAGUGGGUAGGGGUAAAAUCCUCUGAUCCAUUGAAGACCACCAGUGGCGAAGGCGGCUUGCCAGAACGCGCUCGACGGUGAGGGAUGAAAGCUGGGGGGAGCAAAC
rnacentral:rRNA from 1 species